rnacentral:rRNA from 1 species
GACGAACGCUGGCGGCGUGCCUAAUACAUGCAAGUCGAACGCAGUGGGGACGGGUGAGUAACACGUGGGUAACCUCCCAUCAGAGGGGAUAACACUUGGAAACAGGUGCUAAACCGAUACUGAUGGAUGGACCCGCGGUGCAUUAGCUAGUUGGUGGGGUAACGGCUCACCAAGGCCACGAUCCAUAGCCGGGCUGAGAGGGAGAUCAGCCACACUGGGACUGAGACACGGCCCAGACUCCUACGGGAGGCAGCAGUAGGGAAUCUUCGACAAUGGGCGAAAGCCUGAUCGAGCCACGCCGCGUGUGUGAUGAAGGUCUUCGGAUCGUAAAGCUCUUUUGUUAGAGAAGCGGUAUCUACACAGUAAGCCCCGGCUAACUACGUGCCAGCAGCCGCGGUAAUAC